AUGUUUGAGCUGUUCCCAUCCCCAUCUCCCCUUUUCCCCGCAGGGCUCCGGGCGGCCGUGACCCUGCUGGAGUGCGGGGGGGACCUCCAGCCCCCCGGGGGGUCCCUGCGCCUCCUCUGCCGAGGCUCCGGGUUCAAUUUUGGCAGUUUUGGGAUGGGCUGGAUGCGCCAGAGACCCGGGCAGGCGCUGGAGUGGGUUGCAGGGGUCAACACUGGUGGCGACACCGAGUACGCGCCAUCGGUGCAGGGCCGGUUCAGGAUCUCCAGGGACAAGGGGCAGAGCUCGGUGACGCUGACCAUGAACAACCUCAAGGACGAGGAUUCCGCCGUCUAUUUCUGUGCCAAAGGUCCUGGUGGUGGUGCUACUCCUGCUGGUUAUAUUG